GGCUGGUCAACUGUCUUCGACAACAAUGUAAACAACAGUUGUCGGACUGCAUAUCCCAGGAUACAACACAGUCACACAAUUCGAAAAACAUUCAUGGAUCCUACAGUAUGACGAAAUUCCACUUGCGUCCUAUGUUUUUAUCAAGCAGAACAGGUUUGCACGAACGCUAUGAGAUCAAGCGCAGCUGUUUUCACAAGACAGAAUCCAUUUCCUCCGGAUCCCCCUUUGUCCAGGAGCCACUACAGUCCAUCAAGAUCCAAAAAAAUCCCAAAGCAACAAAGAAGACUGGCCUUGAGUCCUGUCCGCUUUACUGAGCCACCCAGUCCUUCAGAUCCUCCCACUCAGGCGUUACCUUUGAGGACCGAGGACCAGGUCUGCCAUGAAAGAUCACGUAUUGUCCUGCUCUGCCCUCCUACUACUGAACGCCAGCUGAGCUACUCCGAGUCUUGGCCUUCUACUGACCUGAGUUGCUCUACAGACAACACUAACACUUCGGCCUGCUCUGAAGCUCAGAUGCAAGCCAUGAGAAGCAUGGUUGCGCCAACGACAAUUGAGGCAAAGGAACCCUCAGUUCUGGCAAAGUACAUUGAACGCUUCCGCUUCGGAAAGCCACAGAGUCGAGAAGAAAGACACCUUCAGGCAACUGAGGGAGAAGAUGACCAGCCGUUUUGGUGGAUGCCCACAUCCCCUCCAUCCAGUUCAACACCAACACAACCAUCAGAGAAAUAUAUCAGAGAACCACUAGAUCUCAUGAACGAUGGACCCGCCAGCACCCAGAGAACCAUCUCAAAGCCACUGCAUGAUGAAACCACGCUGUCUCCAGCUAGACUCAUGCUUGACCUUAGCACGCUGACAUUAUCUGAAUCAUCCCACUGUGAUCAAGAAGAACCAGAGAUACUGCAGCUACAGGAGCGGGCCAGCCGUUUACUGCAGAGGAGUUCUGGGGGUCUGGGCUGCUCUGAUUUCUCUUCCCCCGUAAGCACUGAUGAGCCGGUCCGAAGACCAGUCGUGUCCACCUUAAUGGGCUCAACCAACAUGGUUCUAGAGCCCGGUAUGUGCGAGGGAACGUCUUUUCCUCCUCUUGCGGUUGGUUCUGAGGGGUCAGGUAUCCGUCGUGAAGAUGACAUCCUGUUUCAGUGGCGACUAAGAAGGAAGAUGGAACAGGCCAGACAAUGGUGUCAGGAGGCCCCUUCCCACAAUUCUGUUCUCCAUAUACCUCUAUCACACAGUGUCGGACCAAACCAGGUUGUCUCUGAGGUGCUUUUUGCUGGUACAGACUCAUCAAGCCAGUCCAAGACUCCAAGUUCUUCAGAUUCCCCAGUAUAUACCCCACCUCCACCCCCACAAUCCCCUGUGGUCUCUUGUUCCGGUGUGCAGCAACCCUUGGAGGUCAUAGGUCAGCUCAUGCAGGAUGCAGAAGGUAAGAAGGCCUCAUGCAUUCAUUUAAACUAGCUGUAAAACUGCCUGAUGAUGUGUUUUUAACAGGUCACGUGUUUUAGCCUGAGCCGGUUAUAAAUAGCAGGAUUGACCCUUUAGAGUGUGCUUAGAACAAUAGAAUGCAUGUUACCAUUAAUAUAAGUGACGUGACAUGUGGCCAAGUAUGGUGACCCAUACUCGGAAUUAGUGCUCUGCAUUUAACCCAUCCAAAGUGCGCACACA
rnacentral:lncRNA from 1 species